CUACGGGUCGCUGCAGUGAGGAAUAUUGCACAAUGGGGGGAACCCUGAUGCAGCAACGCCGCGUGGAGGAUGACGCAUUUCGGUGUGUAAACUCCUUUUAUAUGUCAAGAAAAUGACGGUAGCAUAUGAAUAAGCACCGGCUAACUCCGUGCCAGCAGCCGCGGUAAUACGGAGGGUGCAAGCGUUACUCGGAAUCACUGGGCGUAAAGGACGCGUAGGCGGGUUGGAAAGUCAGGUGUGAAAUCCUAUAGCUUAACUGUAGAACUGCACUUGAAACUUCUAAUCUAGAGUAUGGGAGGGGGAGAUGGAAUUAGUGGUGUAGGGGUAACAUCCGUAGAUAUCACUAGGAAUACCUAAAGCGAAGGCGAUCUCCUGGAACAUUACUGACGCUAAGGCGUGAAAGCGUGGGGAGCAAACAGGAUUAGAUACCCUAGUAGUC
rnacentral:rRNA from 1 species